CCCAACAACCCCUGUUUAUGUUGUGAAAACCAAUGUAGACAACAGUGAUAUGUGCUCCACCAUCAACCAUGCAUGGAUCAUAUGCUGCUCUGCUUCACUAGGUCACACACAUUACAGUGAGUGAGUAUGGUUUUAUGUCGCUUUUAGCAAUAUUCCAGCAAUAUCACGGCAGGGGACACCAGAAAUGGGCUUCACACAUUGUACCCAUGUUGGGAAUCGAACCCAGGUCUUCGGCGUAACGAACGAACGCUUUCACCACUAGGCGACCCGACCGCCCCCACACACAUUACAGGGCACAGGGCACACACAACAUACAGUGUGUGGGAUGCAGAAAAUCUGUAUGCAUUUUUAUAAUUUGGAAACACUUAAACUUCAUUCCUGUGAUCAUUAAAAAAAAUCACGAUCUGUUACACUUGUACAUUUACUUAAGUCAGCAAAUGGCAACUGAGCAUGUGUAAUCUUGCAUCACUUGUGGUAGAGCACUGUCUUCCAUUUUUUACAAUUGGUCUCAGGUCCCCAUGUUUUAACCUGGGACCCCUACAAUUACUGUCCCAGGACCCCCAAAACAUGUAACCCAGGUAAAUCCCGGACACAGUGUAUAUAGUAAGUAGUAAGGUGAAACAUAAGGUCACAUUGGCAGUAGAUACAACGAAUACUUACAGGUCAUGUGUUGAAUGUUGUGAUUUAUUAUUGUGAUUGUUAUUAAGGUGAAAGAGCAAUAUAUUCAAGUGGACUGUGUGACAACUGGAUGUUACUGUUUCUCUUGGACUCGGGUGUUUCAGUCCUUCCAGAUGUUUAUUGAUAUCCUUCAUGCUUCAAUGUGAGAAGGAUCUUUUGCCUGGAGCAUCUGUCUGGGAUAGAAGAGGUCGAUUGUGUGUGACUGCAGUAGAUGUAUCACGGGUUCUUGUGUCUCCAGCUGGGUGGUGGGGGUAAACCCAUGAUGGGUGGAGUGUGAGAAGUAUGUACACUGAACCCCAAAAAGUAGGAAUCAUGAAUAUUUUGGGAUAUUUUUAUGAAAUUGUGUGACUAGUCUUCAGUACAAAAAUAUAUCCCCAAAAAUAUUCAGGAUCCCUAAAAAGAAAUUAUCAGUACAAUGCCCUUCCCAACUUGCAUAUCGUAUUUUGUGACUAGUAGUUUAUUAUUGUUGACAUGAUCCUCCCCAUGAUGUCAAUUAGACCACACAUUUUUAAUUUUAUGUUUCACAGAAAUAUUCCAGCUUUUCCACAAAAGGUUGGUCGAAAUAAAAAUAAAUAGCUGUGUCAGUCAUGCCGUGGAGUUUAAACUGUAGCUAGCAUCUUGAAUCACUGAUAGUGAUGUACACUUGGAAUUCAUGUCUAACAUUUUUUUAUUGUAUGAGAGUGUCUAUAUUACUAGCGGGAGACAUAAUAAAAAUAAAAUAUUUUAAUGUUUAAUUUAUUUUUUGGACUGUCCGUAGGGUCGGCAGGCCUGUGAAACAAAAAACAAAAAAUGUGUGGCCUUAUGUAAAUAAAACAAUAUCAUCAGUGUUGACCGUCCACUUCCCUUGUGCCUUUGUGCCUGCAUAGAGUGUCAUACCUUUCUGCAUCUUGUUUCCAGUUUUUCUGCAUAACAAAAUCACUUUGUGACAGAUUGCCAAUAUAUGAUCAAUAUCAACAAAUUGUUUCUCCUGAGUAUUGGUUUCAGCAGCUCUGAUUCUCUCAGCUCUUGUAGUUUAUAUUAAGUUGCCUGACCAUCAGGUGGAGAUUGAGGGGCUAAAAGUGGGUUCCUGACUCUGACUUCUUCCCGAGGCAAGGGCGUUAACUCACUAAAGGCCAGUUUCCACCAUUGUCAAACUUGACUGGAAUUUUCAGGCUUGAUUGUAGCACCACCAGUGGCUAUACGAGAUAUGUCCCUUCUAUGUCCCUCCUGUUGACCAAUCAGAUUCCACCUCUCAUAUUACUUAGCAUCAGUCUACGCUCAGAGCUAUCCUGAGUAUCAUUUCUGAUAUGCUGUAGUCUGUAAACUGAAUAUCCAAGAACCUGGCUUAUUCACGAAUUCUCACUGAAAUCUAAGGAAACAUAUUUGAUCAUCACAGGGAAUGAGAAGAAUCCCAAGCAAAACUUCUGUUUCUGAAACUGCCAAUAUUUUCCCAACACUUGUAGCCCCUUCCCUGAAGGGAAUGAAGAUAUGAAAGCUGUCCUCAUAUAUCCAGUAUCACUCUGUAUGAUUUGUUUUCUUUUCUUUGUUGUUUAACGCCGCACUCAGCAAUAUUCCAGCUAUAUGCCGGCAGUCUAUAAAUAAUCGAGUCUGGACCAGACAAUCCAGUGAUUGACAUCAUGAGCAUCGAUCCACGCAAUUGGGAUACAAUGACAUGCAUCAACCAAGUCAGCAAGCCUUACCACCCGAUCCCUCUUACGACAAGCAUAGUCGCCUUUUACGGCAAGUAUGAAUGCAUGACCUUGCUAUGCCUUAAAUAUGUCAUGUCAUGUCACAACACAUCAUGAUCAUUAUCCAAAACUCUCUCUCAAAAGAGAUAUCACUUCAGUGAGAUCAUUACGUUAUUAAUCUUGUACACUCCUGAGGUCAACGAAACUACAAAUGCUGGUUACUAGGCUGUGUCCAACAGAAAGUCCUGACUGCUAUAUUAAGUCAUUGGUGGCAUAUUGUUACUUUCAGUCAUCAGUGGCCUUGAUAGUCUACACUCACGUGGUGUAUUGUAGUUGGUUCACAGGAUGUACAAGUUGCAAGCUCCUUUCAGCUCUAGUUGGUGCAGUUAGCCUAUACUCUCUUCUAUCUUUAAUCUUUGCCUGCACUCACGUUUUUGUUUAAUUUUGGAAACCAUGCUGUGUAUGUAAGACAUGUAUGAUGAAUAAAUGACUGAUUUUCCA